AUGAUUAAUCAGUUUAGGUGGUGCGCCAAAGAACCGUACCUAAACCUUCUCUAUAGGUGUACCCUCUGGCUGUUUCCACUCAUCAAAAGCAAUGAUAAUGUUGGUACUCGGAACUCUGCACAGACCCCACUUAAGAAUAUGCAAUUGAUCCUCUUUAGUGGGAAAAUCCACCUUGUAAGCCUGGUCCUCAAGCUUGUCAAGAUGCCACUGAUAAUUACCCGGUACCAGCUCACGCAGUUGCCUCACAAUCUGAGCCUCAGUCAUCUGUCCAUUAGUAACCCGAACCACUGCUGGAAAAGAACUCUCAACCAUCUGAGGCAAAGGAGCCACCUCCGGUGUCUCAAAGAACAUCAGCUCCUUGCAGCACACUUUUAUGCCAGGCUUAGGACCGGACAAGAGUGCGCAUUCACCGGUCACAUGCUGCGAUCUAAGGCAGUAGUCACAAAUUUCAUUAGUACACUCUGCCACAAAGUGUCCCGGUUUGCCACAUAUAUAGCAAGGCAAUUUCUUCUUCUUAAUUGCCCACUUUGA
rnacentral:rRNA from 1 species